GAUGAAGAACGCAGCGAAAUGCGAUAAGUAGUGUGAAUUGCAGAAUUCAGUGAAUCAUCGAAUCUUUGAACGCACAUUGCGCCCCUUGGUAUUCCAUGGGGCAUGCCUGUUCGAGCGUCAUUUGUACCUUCAAGCUUUGCUUGGUGUUGGGUGUUUGUCCCUCGGGACUCGCCUUAAAGUCAUUGGCAGCCAGUGUUUUGGUUUUGAAGCGCAGCACAAGUCGCGAUUCAAGGCUAUCCUCCCGCUUCCACAAGCCUUUUUCACUUUUGACCUCGGAUCAGGUAGGGAUACCCGCUGAACUUAAGCAUAUCAAUAAGCGGAGGA
rnacentral:misc_RNA from 1 species